rnacentral:rRNA from 1 species
GUUAAAAAGCUCGUAGUUGGAUUUCGGAACCGGCCGAUUGGUCCGUCCUCUGGAUCGUGUACUGAUCGGUCUGUUCUUCUUCGCGAAGACCGCGUGUGCUCUUAACUGAGUGGGCGUGGGAUUCGCGACGUUUACUUUGAAAAAAUUAGAGUGUUCAAAGCAGGCAGUCGCUUGAAUAUCUCAGCAUGGAAUAAUAGAAUAGGACUUUGGUCUUAUUUUGUUGGUUUCCGAGACCGAAGUAAUGAUUAAUAGGGACAGUUGGGGGCAUUCGUAUUUCAUUGUCAGAGGUGAAAUUCUUGGAUUUAUGAAAGACGAACUUCUGCGAAAGCAUUUGCCAAGGAUGUUUUCAUUAAUCAAGAACGAAAGUUGGAGGCUCGAAGACGGUCAGAUACCGUCCUAGUUCCAACCAUAAACGAUGCCGUCUGCGGAUCGGAGGUCGCUCAUGUAAGGCUCCUUCGGCACGCUAUGAGAAAUCAAAGACUUCGGGUUCCGGGGGGAGUAUAUUCGCAAGAAUGAAACUUAAAGGAAUUGACGGAAGGGCACCACCAGGAGUGGAACCUGCGGUUUAAUUUGACUCAACACGGGAAAAACUCACCC